rnacentral:tRNA from 1 species
CGCGGGGGUGGAGCAGCACGGUAGCUCGUCGGGCUCAUAACCCGAAGGUCGCAGGUUCAAAUCCUGUCCCCGCAACCA